rnacentral:siRNA from 1 species
UAGAGGUGUCAGAAAAGUUAC